CAGUCGCCACGGUAAUACGGAGGGGGCUAGCGUUGUUCGGAAUUACUGGGCGUAAAGCGCACGUAGGCGGCUUGGUAAGUUAGGGGUGAAAGCCCGGAGCUCAACUCCGGAAUUGCCUUUAAGACUGCCGAGCUAGUAGGUGAGAGAGGUAAGUGGAAUUCCGAGUGUAGAGGUGAAAUUCGUAGAUAUUCGGAAGAACACCAGUGGCGAAGGCGACUCGCUGGACAAGUAUUGACGCUGAGGUGCGAAAGCGUGGGGAGCAAACAGGAUUAGAUACCCCUGUAGUCCCUGUCUCUUAUAC
rnacentral:rRNA from 1 species